rnacentral:misc_RNA from 1 species
UUGUGCCGGCCGACACUG